CAGCAGCAGCCGCGGGAAUACGAAGGGGGCUAGCGUUGUUCGGAUUUACUGGGCGUAAAGCGCACGUAGGCGGACUUUUAAGUCAGGGGUGAAAUCCCGGGGCUCAACCCCGGAACUGCCUUUGAUACUGGAAGUCUUGAGUAUGGUAGAGGUGAGUGGAAUUCCGAGUGUAGAGGUGAAAUUCGUAGAUAUUCGGAGGAACACCAGUGGCGAAGGCGGCUCACUGGACCAUUACUGACGCUGAGGUGCGAAAGCGUGGGGAGCAAACAGGAUUAGAUACCCGGGUAGUCCCUGUCUCUUAUAC
rnacentral:rRNA from 1 species